AUUGAACGCUGGCGGCAUGCUUUACACAUGCAAGUCGAACGGUAACAGGUUAAGCUGACGAGUGGCGAACGGGUGAGUAAUGCAUCGGAACGUGCCCGAUCGUGGGGGAUAACGCAGCGAAAGCUGCGCUAAUACCGCAUACGAUCUGAGGAUGAAAGCGGGGGACCGUAAGGCCUCGCGCGAUCGGAGCGGCCGAUGUCAGAUUAGGUAGUUGGUGGGGUAAAGGCUCACCAAGCCAACGAUCUGUAGCUGGUCUGAGAGGACGACCAGCCACACUGGGACUGAGACACGGCCCAGACUCCUACGGGAGGCAGCAGUGGGGAAUUUUGGACAAUGGGCGAAAGCCUGAUCCAGCAAUGCCGCGUGAAGGAAGAAGGCCUUCGGGUUGUAAACUGCUUUUGUACGGAGCGAAAAGGUCUCCUCUAAUACAGGGGGCUCAUGACGGUACCGUAAGAAUAAGCACCGGCUAACUACGUGCCAGCCGCCGCCGUAA
rnacentral:rRNA from 1 species